UGGGGAAUCUUGGACAAUGGGCGCAAGCCUGAUCCAGCCAUGCCGCGUGAGUGAUGAAGGCCUUAGGGUCGUAAAGCUCUUUCGCCAGAGAUGAUAAUGACAGUAUCUGGUAAAGAAACCCCGGCUAACUCCGUGCCAGCAGCCGCGGUAAUACGGAGGGUCCAAGCGUUAUCCGGAUUCAUUGGGUUUAAAGGGUCCGCAGGCGGAAAGAUAAGUCAGUGGUGAAAGCCUACAGCUCAACUGUAGAACUGCCAUUGAUACUGUUUUUCUUGAAUAUAGAUGAAGUGGGCGGAAUGUGUCAUGUAGCGGUGAAAUGCAUAGAUAUGACACAGAACACCGAUUGCGAAGGCAGCUCACUAAACUAUUAUUGACGCUCAUGGACGAAAGCGUGGGGAGCGAACAGGAUUAGAUACCCUGGUAGUCCACGCCGUAAACGAUGAUUACUCGGUGCUAGCGAUAUACAGUUAGUGCCUAAGCGAAAGUGAUAAGUAAUCCACCUGGGGAGUACGGUCGCAAGAUUG
rnacentral:rRNA from 1 species